rnacentral:lncRNA from 1 species
GAUAGUAAAGGGCUUAGUUCAUCUUUGGGAAAAAGUAAAAGAACAAUUGGAUAACUAAGUCUUCAGCUAAAGAUAAAUAAAAGAGAGUUAUUUAUCUCUUAGUAAAGGAAAGGAUGGCCAUAUCAUCCAUUAUUUGGUUGUAACUCAAGAGAAGGGUUUCCUCCUUCAAAAUAGAACUUAGCAAGAAUAACAUAAGUUAACAAGAUGAAUAUGAGGACAAUAAAUCAGAUUUAGGAUUUAAUAGGCAUCAUAAUAUUAAGGAGGAUUUCAUCUUUCUCUAGAACAGAGAUUAACAAGAAAAUAUAAAUUAAAAGAGGAAUAUAAAACAAAAGGGAAGGAUUUAGGGUUUACCUUAGUUGAGGAAGAAGAGGAGAGAGGUUGGUAUCUUGCACUAAGGACAAGGAGGAGGAGGAGGA